CUGGUUAAGCAAGUUUCAUUGUGGAGCCAAAGCGAAAGCGAGUCCUAAUAGGGCGAUUUAGUCGCAUGGAUCAGACCCGAAGCCGGGUGAGCUACCCAUGGCCAGGGUGAAGCUCCGAUAAAAUCGAAGUGGAGGCCCGAACCGCUCAGUGAUGCAAAACUGUCGGAUGAGCUGUGGGUAGAGGUGAAAUGCCAAUCGAACCCGGUGAUAGCUGGUUCUCCCCGAAAUGCAUUGAGGUGCAGCCUCAGGUAUUAGUUAAUGGAGGUAGGGCUCUGGAUGGACUAGGGGGCUAGAAGCUUACCAACUCCAACCAAACCACGAAUGCCAUUAACCUCAAACCUGGGAGUGAGACUGCGGGGGAUAAGCUCCGUAGUCGAGAGGGAAACAGCCCAGACCAUCAGCUAAGGUCCCCAAGAACGGACUAAGUGGGCAAGGAAGUAGGACUGCCCAGACAGCCAGGAGGUUGGCUUAGAAGCAGCCAUCCUUUAAAGAAAGCGUAAUAGCUCACUGGUUGAGUGGUGCUGCGCCGACAAUUUAACGGGGCUAAAGUCUGUCACCGAAGCUAUGGACUCGCCUUUAAAGCGAGUGGUAGGGGAGCGUUCCCUUAGCCAUAAAGCUACUACGUGAGUGGUAGUGGAGUUAAGGGAAGUGAGAAUGCCGGCAUGAGUAGCGCAAGGUGUGUGAGAAACACACCCACCGAAAACCUAAGGUUUCCUACGGAAGGUUAAUCCGCGUAGGGUUAGUCGGGCCUAAGCCGAGGCCGGAAG
rnacentral:rRNA from 1 species